rnacentral:rRNA from 1 species
AUGAACGCUGGCGGCGUGCCUAAUCCAUGCAAGUCGAGCGAACGGACGAGAAGCUUGCUUCUCUGAUGUUAGCGGCGGACGGGUGAGUAACACGUGGAUAACCUACCUAUAAGACUGGGAUAACUUCGGGAAACCGGAGCUAAUACCGGAUAAUAUUUUGAACCGCAUGGUUCAAAAGUAAAAGACGGUCUUGCUGUCACUUAUAGAUGGAUCCGCGCUGCAUUAGCUAGCUGGUAAGGUAACGGCUUACCAAGGCAACGAUGCAUAGCCGACCUGAGAGGGUGAUCGGCCACACUGGAACUGAGACACGGUCCAGACUCCUACGGGAGGCAGCAGUAGGGAAUCUUCCGCAAUGGGCGAAAGCCUGACGGAGCAACGCCGCGUGAGUGAUGAAGGUCUUCGGAUCGUAAAACUCUGUUAUUAGGGAAGAACAUAUGUGUAAGUAACUGUGCACAUCUUGACGGUACCUAAUCAGAAAGCCACGGCUAACUACGUG